rnacentral:tRNA from 1 species
GGCCCCUUGGUCAAGCGGUUAAGACACCACCCUUUCACGGUGGUAACACGAGUUCGAGUCUCGUAGGGGUCACCA